UACGGGGGGGGCGAGCGUUGUCCGGAAUUAUUGGGCGUAAAGAGCUCGUAGGCGGUGUGUCGCGUCGGCCGUGAAAACUCGGGGCUUAACCCCGAGCCUGCAGUGGAUACGGGCAGACUAGAGGUAGGUAGGGGAGAAUGGAAUUCCCGGUGUAGCGGUGAAAUGCGCAGAUAUCGGGAAGAACACCAGUGGCGAAGGCGGCUAACUGGUCCAGAUCUGACGCUGAGGUGCGAAAGCGUGGGGAGCAAACAGG
rnacentral:rRNA from 1 species